rnacentral:lncRNA from 1 species
UACUCCGCCCACCUAGUCAAUCAACUACUCUGGGCGGUUUGUGAAGAACGAGGUAAAACCUAGCCAAAAAAAAAGAGAGAGUGUUCCUCUGCUCCCCUUGCAAAGAGGUGGCCUUGCCUGCCUGGUGCCUGAGCGGGAAGGGAGGGAACGGGGGGGGACACACCUCAUCCAGGGCCUUUAUGACAUCCUCUGGAAUGCCAGCACAGGCCCACCUAGUCAAUCAACUACUCUGGGCGGUUUGUGAAGAACGAGGUAAAACCUAGCCAAAAAAAAAGAGAGAGUGUUCCUCUGCUCCCCUUGCAAAGAGGUGGCCUUGCCUGCCUGGUGCCUGAGCGGGAAGGGAGGGAACGGGGGGGGACACACCUCAUCCAGGGCCUUUAUGACAUCCUCUGGAAUGCCAGCACAGGACGGGGGGGGGCAUUCCAGAGGGUGUCAUAAAGGCCCUGAGGCUUGGCUGGAGUGGGGGGCUGGGCACAGGCCCUUUUGAGAUUGGUGGGGGGGGGUCCCCCCCAGGCCGGGACGAUGCCAGGAGCCGAAGAGGAGGGCUGCUACUCCUGCCUCGAAUGUUUCUGGCAGCUUCGUCUGUUCCUCUUCCCGCUGUUGGGCUUCUUCCUCGGAUCUUGUAUGUCCGAUUCCAGGGCAGAAGAGUGGCCAGAAGGGAAGAGUGCGAAUGCAGCCGGCACUGCCAGUGCUCCAGUGGACUGAGAGAGGAGUGCCAACCCUCUUUGAAGAGCCGCCGCUGACCAUGUUCCAUCCGCACCCAGCAAGCAGUUGAGGAGGAGGCCUCCCUUCUUUCCUUUCCUUUCCUCCCUCCCUUCCACUGUGAAUGUUGCCUUUUAAUGGAAGGGCAGGGUUUAAAGAUAAUGAAUAAAAUAAAAUAAAUCGUAAAUCGUAAAUCA